UAGAAGUCACCAAGAAGAUGAUGGAGCUGCUGACAGGAGAGGUUUGGGGGUAUUUAGAAGACAAUAAGGACUUCCUGAAGGAUGUAAAGAUAGAGAAAUGCCAAACCUUCACAUCACCGGAUGGAUCCAGUAAUGGGAACCCACCAGAGAGAUGUCCCCG